rnacentral:lncRNA from 7 species
CCCUUUUUGUUUUUAGAGUUAAAAUUUGAAUUCGAAUUUAACUAUGAACUUGUACUCAUUUUAAAUAUACAAAUGGAGCACAGCAAUAUGGGUGGAUUUUAUUUAUUUAUACAUUUAUUCUUCUUUACUUGGCAUAAUGUUUUCCUUCUUUUCCCCAAACUCUAAAUUCCACAUUAGGUCUUACUCCUAAACUUGGUUAUUAAUGUAUUUAAUAUCAUCAUUAUUAUUAUUAAAUGCUCACACAAAUAAAUUCCAUCAUGAUGCAUAAUUUAUUUUGGUGUCUUUGGUUAUUUACUCCUUUUUGAUGGUGUUCAUUCACAU